UACAAUGGCCCAUUCAAAGUUGUUGAGAAGAUUGGGGAAGUCAUUUACAAGAUGAACUUGCUGGAAAGGUUGAAAAUUCACCCUACCUUUCUUGUCAAUUUUUUGAGAAGGUAUAAUUCAGAUGUUGAAGACCCGGGUAGGAAUAAGUCCAAGAGAGAUCCUCCGGUGCUGUUACUUUGAAGAAAUUAGAGUGCUCAAAGAAAUCCUAUGCUUUGUAUACAUUAGAAUGGGAUAACAUUAUAAGAUUUUAGUCCUAUUAUGUUGGCCUUCGGGAUUGGAGUAAUGAUUAAAAGGGACAGUUGGGGACUUUUGUAUUUCAUAGUUAGAGGUGAAAUUUUUGGAUUUAUGAAAAACAAACAAUAGCAAAAGCAUUUUCCAAGGAUGUUUUCAUUAAUCGAGAAUGAAAGCUGGGGAUCAAAGAUGAUCAGCUACCAUCCUAGUCUCAACCAAAAAUGAUGCUGACCAGGGAUCAACGUAUGUUGCUUUUAGGACUCCGCCAGCACUUUAUGAGAAAUCAAAGUUUUUGGUUUCCUGGGGGAGUAUGGUCAUAAGGCUGAAACUUAAAGGAAUUGAUGGAAGGGCACCACUAGGAGUGGAUCCUGCGGUUUAAUUUGGCUCAACACGGGGAAACUUACCAGGUCCAAACAUAGUAAGGAUUGAGAGACUGAGAGCUCUUUCUUGAUUCUAUGGGCGGUGAUGCAUGGUUGUUCUUAGUUAAUGGAGAAAUUUUUCUGGUUAAUUCCUUUAACAAAUGAGACCUCAUCCUUCUAACUAGCUAUACGGAGGUAUCCCUUCGCGGCCAGAUUCUUAGAGGGACUACAACCUUUUACACUGCAAAAGGUUGAGGCAGUAACAAGUCUGUGAUGCCAUUAGAUGUUUUGGGCCGCACGUGUGCUACACUGAUAUAUUCAAUUAUUUUAUAGCCUUAGAUGACAUGCCAGAGUAAUAUUUGAAAUUUCAUCAUGAUGGGCGGGUAAUCUUUAUACACACCGCCCAUCGCACCUACUGAUUGAAUGAUCUGGUGAAAUGUUCAGAUCGCAGCGACGUGCGUGGUUCACUACCUACGCGUCAUGAGAAGUCCAUUGAACCUUAUCAUUUAGAAGAAGGAAAAGUCAUAACUAGGGUUCUAUAGGUGAACCUACAGAAGGAUCAUUG
rnacentral:ncRNA from 1 species